rnacentral:lncRNA from 1 species
UGGACAAGAAAGCCCAAUAGAAAAUUUUCUAAACCCCCAUGAAGCUAGAAAACGUGGAUUAGUAUGAGAUGAGAAAACCAAGACUAAGAGAAGACAGGAAUAUCUCUUCUCUACACAAAGCCACUUGAGCCCAUUUGAAAUGUAAUUUUGCCAUGGAAGAAUUCUACCAACACUUUUGUCGUCAUUUAAACUACCCACUAAAUACCUUUUCUAUUUUUUAUACUAUUUUUUGUUACUCUGUGUGUGUGUGUUUUAUUUACUUAUUUUCUUAAUAUCAUAACAAAACAAAAUUAAACAAAAAAAUUGGGUUUUACCAGUGUUGCCAUCCAAAAUAUAAAAUACCCAGUUUAACUUGAAUUUCACGUAAACAAAAUUAUUUAACUGGGUAUCUCAUCUUUUGUUUGCCAAUCUAGCAAACUUAGUUUUUGCAAUCAGUAAUGUGUUGGUUCCUAAUGCUGCUAUAAUAAAUUACUAUAAACGUUGUGUCUUAAAACA